CCCAGGGCAGGCAUUAAGCAUCCAUGUAUACUUGUUUCCCUUUGGCUCCUAAAUAAAAGUUGAAAGGAGCAAACAGCCUGUCCUUGUUAUCCCUUCCUUUCUCCGCAUCAAAAUUUCAACCAAACAACCGGGCAUUUGGAAACAAUAAUUUAUUAUUAUAAACUCCAAUUUCAACUCAAAAUAACUAAACAUAAUCUCAUUAGCAGUUUUUGGUCCUUCAUUGGACCUAGCUAGCAGCUAGCUACCUCCUCACUUCUUGUUUCUUGUUUAUUCAUCAUCCACUUUAUGUACUUUAGCUCUUCGUGGCAUUCUGCUAGGAAUUAGGAACUGAUUUUCCUCUUUUUUUUUUCAUAUAUACUUUGAUAAUUUAUUAUUGCUUCUUAUAUAUAUGGAAUCCUUGUCAGGAAAUGAAUGGCUGCAAACACCAUACCAGUUUUCUUCUGCUCAACAUUGUUGUCUAGUGGUAUAAACAGAAAACGCUGAAACGAAAAGCUUUGCUCACUGGGGGUGAGAAGGUUUUGGGGAACAGGGAGAUAGCUCUGAGUCUGAGGAAACUAAAUCUUAUACAUGGACUGGAACUCGAAGGAAAAUUAUUGGGAUUUAACUGAUUUCAAGCGAGAAGCUAUUCCAAUUAUAGAUGAAUUUCAUAGGACUAGCGGUGGGGAGUUUUCGAUUGAUCUGAAACUUGGUAGAGUCAGCAGUAAUUCAAAUGACAAAUCAAUAAAUCAGAGGAAGAAGCCUGGACCUGGAGUCUCAAAAACGAAAUCUUCACCUUCAGUAUCAACGAAGAGGGCACGAUCAAGAAAUAAUGGAACUCAGGCAGCGCUUUGCCUUGCUGAUGGAUGCAAUACAGACCUUACCAAUUGUAGAGACUACCAUAGGCGUCAUAAGGUUUGUGAGCUUCACUCCAAGUCUCCACAAGUUACUAUAGGAGGCCUAAAGCAACGGUUCUGCCAGCAAUGUAGCAGGUUCCAUUCCUUAGAGGAAUUUGACGAAGGGAAACGAAGCUGCAGGAAACGUCUUGACGGACACAACCGGCGACGAAGGAAGCCUCAGCCAGACCUCCUAUCGCGUCCUGGAAGCUUUUUGUCCAAUUUCAAUGGGACCCACAUGUUGCCAUUCCCUAGUCCACAUGUUUAUCCAACCACCACAGUGGUGAGUCCUACCUGGUCAGGAAUUGUUAAUGGUGAGGUAGAUGCUAGUACCCAUUUUGGUCUGCAACAACAAAUGCAUAUCCCUGGCAAGCAGAAUCUGUUCUUUGGAUCCUCCUCGAGCGGCAGCAACAAAUUAGGAUGGAAGCAAUUCCCAUUCUUUCAAGUUGACAAACCUCCUACAUCGUCUACUCCUUCUCCUCCUCAUGAAGCUUUCAUCUGCCAGCCUCUUCUGCGGAACAAAAUUCCAUUGUCAGACAGCAGCGUGGCUGGUAGCUACAGCAUAUUCUGUGACAGGCUUGCGACAAUAACACAAGUCCAAGACUCGAAUUGUGCUCUCUCUCUUCUGUCAUCCCAAUCACACAAUUAUUUAAGUCAUUCAUCAGGAAUUUCUAUGGCCUGCCCAUUGUUAGUUCCAGGUAGCAAUACCCAUUAUGGUGUGAAUCAAGUUUCUGAAAAGCUAACAGGUGAUAGUUCUCAGGCUUCCACAAGCGUGGUGCCAAACAAGUUCUCUUCAUCAGGAGCAAGUUCUGCAGAAGGAAGCCAAUUAGGCUCCAUACUGAUAUCUGAUGGUAGUGAUGCUAUUAAUUUUGAUCUCACUGAUGGGAUUUACCAGGGCUCAAAUUUUAUGAAUGCGGAGGAUCAUCUUUCCUGUGAAGAUGGCACCACCAUUGACCUGCUUCAGUUAUCAUCACAGCUUCAGCAAGUAGAACAUCAGAAGCAAUCCAUGCAAGCGAAGCAGGAAAAUGAUGCUUUCUGCUGGCCACAUAUCACUUAAGCGCUUUGCAAAAAAGGGAGCAGGUAGCUGAGUAUGUGGUAGCUUCAAUAUCAUUUACACUGGAUUUCUAAAGCAGCAUAAACUGGAAUGAUACAGAGCAAAGCAAGAGAAAGUUUAUGCAACCUUUCUCGCAUGUUGAUGCACAAACUGAUGAUCUUUCUGCAACAUAAAGAAUUUCAUUAGCAAUUCAACUUUCUGCAUUUGUGCCCUUUGAAUAGAGAGAAAAUCAUUUGAUUUUAUGUUGCUUUAUUCAUAUCCUAUUGCAUAUGAUUGUGCAAGUCUCAUAUUCAACUCAAUUAAUCUAGUCAGAUAGCCAUUACCGCUGUGGUUUAACAACUGUAGAUUAAUAGACUCAUCAGCUUUUCCCAAAUAAUUAAAUCUGCUGGAGCUUAGAAGCAGGAAAAGCUGACAGAUUUCAGUUAGAAAAUUCGUUCGCCUCUUACCACGAACUCAAUAAAAAGAAAACAUUGGAUAUGAUUAAGUCAAAUCACCAGUUGUUUUGCAGCA
rnacentral:misc_RNA from 1 species